rnacentral:rRNA from 1 species
AUACGGAGGGUGCGAGCGUUAAUCGGAAUUACUGGGCGUAAAGCGUACGUAGGCGGUUGGUUAAGUUAGAUGUGAAAGCCCCGGGCUUAACCUGGGAACUGCAUUUAAAACUGGCGAACUAGAGUUGAGUAGAGGGGAGUGGAAUUUCAGGUGUAGCGGUGAAAUGCGUAGAGAUCUGAAGGAACACCAGUGGCGAAGGCGACUCCCUGGACUCGAACUGACGCUGAGGUACGAAAGCGUGGGGAGCGAACAGGAUUAGAAACCCUAGUAGUCC